rnacentral:rRNA from 1 species
UCGAGAAUCUUCCGCAAUGGGGGCAACCCUGACGGAGCGACGCCGCGUGGAGGAAGAAGGCCUUCGGGUUGUAAACUCCUGUCACGACUUACGAAAAUGCAGCGUGUAACAUCGCUGCACUGACAAAGGGUCGGAAGGAAGCCACAGCUAACUUCGUGCCAGCAGCUGCGGUAAUACGAAGGUGGCAAGCGUUGUUCGGAUUCACUGGGCAUAAAGGGCGCGUAGGCGGUCCCGCAAGUGAUCUGUGAAAUCCCCCGGCUCAACCGGGGAAGUGCAGGUCAGACUGCGGGACUCGAGGCUAGGAGGGGAGACUGGAACUCUCGGUGGAGCGGUGAAAUGCGUAGAUAUCGAGAGGAACACCGGUGGCGAAGGCGAGUCUCUGGUCCAGCACUGACGCUGAGGCGCGAAAGCGUGGGUAGCAAACAGGAUUAGAUACCCGUGUAGUCCCUGAGCGGGCUGGCAAGGCGC